rnacentral:rRNA from 1 species
UACGAAGGGGGCUAGCGUUGCUCGGAAUCACUGGGCGUAAAGCGCACGUAGGCGGCUUUUUAAGUCAGAGGUGAAAUCCUGGAGCUCAACUCCAGAACUGCCUCGAUACUGGAAGACUCGAGUCCGGGAGAGGUGAGUGGAACUGCGAGUGUAGAGGUGAAAUUCGUAGAUAUUCGCAAGAACACCAGUGGCGAAGGCGGCUCACUGGCCCGAUACUGACGCUGAGGCACGAAAGCGUGGGGAGCAAACAGGGAUUAAGAAACCCUGGUAACGUCC